rnacentral:rRNA from 2 species
AACAAACGCUGGCGGCGUGCCUAACACAUGCAAGUCGUACGAGAAAGUCGGCUUCGGCCGAUGAGUACAGUGGCGCACGGGUGAGUAGCGCGUGGGUAAUCUGCCCCCCGGUCAGGAAUAACCCGCCGAAAGGCGGGCUAAUACCCGAUAACACUGACGCUCCGCGGAGCGUCUUUCAAAGAAGGCCUCUGUUUACAAGCUUUCGCCGGAGGAUGAGCCCGCGUACCAUUAGCUAGUUGGCAGGGUAAUGGCCUACCAAGGCUACGAUGGUUAGCUGGUCUGAGAGGAUGGCCAGCCACACUGGAACUGAGACACGGUCCAGACUCCUACGGGAGGCAGCAGUGAGGAAUCUUGCGCAAUGGGGGAAACCCUGACGCAGCAACGCCGCGUGAGUGAGGAAGGCCUUCGGGUCGUAAAGCUCUGUCAGAUGGGAAGAAAUGGAUGGGGGCUAAUAUCGCCCAUCCUUGACGGUACCAUCAGAGGAAGCACCGGCUAACUCCGUG